GUGCCAGCCGCCGCGGUAAGACGUAGGGCGCGAGCGUUGUCCGGAUUUAUUGGGCGUAAAGAGCUCGUAGGCGGUCUGCUACGUCUGUCGUGAAAACCUGCAGCUUAACUGUGGGCUUGCGGUUGAUACGGGUGGGCUGGAGUUCGGUAGGGGAGACUGGAAUUCCUGGUGUAGCGGUGAAAUGCGCAGAUAUCAGGAGGAACACCGGUGGCGAAGGCGGGUCUCUGGGCCGAUACUGACGCUGAGGAGCGAAAGCGUGGGGAGCGAACAGGAUUAGAUACCCCUGUAGUCC
rnacentral:rRNA from 1 species